AGUGAACGCUGGCGGUAGGCCUAACACAUGCAAGUCGAACGGCAGCGCAGUAAGAGCUUGCUCUUACGGGUGGCGAGUGGAGGACGGGUGAGGAAUACCUCGGAAUCUACUUUUUCGUGGGGGAUAACUUAGGGAAACUUACGCUAAUACCGCAUACGACCUACGGGUGAAAGCAGGGAAUCUUCGGACCUUGCGCGAUUGAUUGAGCCGAUGUCGGAUUAGCUAGUUGGCGGGGUAAAGACCCACCAAGGCGACGAUCCGUAGCUGGUCUGAGAGGAUGAUCAGCCACACUGGAACUGAGACACGGUCCAGACUCCUAAGGGAGGCAGCAGUGGGGAAUAAUGGACAAUGGGCGCAAGCCUGAACCAGCCAUACCGCGUGGGUGAAGAAGGCCUUCGGGUUGUAAAGCCCUGUUGUUGGGAAAGAAAAGCAGAAGGUUAAUACCCCGCUGUUCUGAAGGUACCCAAAGAAUAAGCACCGGCUAACUUCGUG
rnacentral:rRNA from 1 species